CUGGUCCAGCAGGUGCCCCAGGUCCAAUGGGCUCCCGUGGUGGUCCUGGUGAACGAGGAGAACAAGGUCUUCCUGGACCUGCUGGCUUCCCUGGAGCUCCAGGCCAAAAUGGGGAACCUGGUGGGAAAGGAGAAAGAGGUCCACCUGGUCUAAGAGGAGAGGCUGGACCCCCUGGAGUUGCAGGUCCACAAGGUGGUCCUGGUGCACCAGUAAGUUUUUUGCCAUUCCUUAUGCUCCAAAGAGAGGUUUCUUCAGUUCUCCCU
rnacentral:lncRNA from 1 species